AUUGAACUCUGGCGGCAGGCCUAACACAUGCAAGUCGGGCGCUCGGCGGACGUGUGAGUCCUGUAUGUGGAUCUGCCUGAUGGAGGUGGAUAACUACUGGACACUGUAGCUAAUCCCGCAUACCAUCAGCUGAACCCAUAUGGCAUUAUCUUGUAGGUAAGGUAACGGCUUACCUAGGCGACGAUCCCUAGCUGGUCUGAGAGGAUGAUGAGCCACACGGGGAAGGAGAAACGGCCCAGAAGCCUACGGGAGGCAGAAGUGGGGAAUAUUGCACAAUGGGCGAAAGCCUGAUGCAGCAAUGCCGCGUGUAUGAAGAAGGCCUUCGGGUUGUAAAGUACUGUCAGUCGGGAGGCGUUACCGACAGAAGAAGCACCGGCUAACUCCGUGCCAGCAGCCGCGGUAAUAC
rnacentral:rRNA from 1 species